UACGAAGGGGGCUAGCGUUGUUCGGAUUACUGGGCGUAAAGCGCACGUAGGCGGAUCUUUAAGUCAGAGGUGAAAUCCCAAGGCUCAACCUUGGAACUGCCUUUGAUACUGGGGAUCUUGAGUCCGGGAGAGGUGAGUGGAACUGCGAGUGUAGAGGUGAAAUUCGUAGAUAUUCGCAAGAACACCAGUGGCGAAGGCGGCUCACUGGCCCGGUACUGACGCUGAGGUGCGAAAGCGUGGGGAGCAAACAGG
rnacentral:rRNA from 1 species